rnacentral:tRNA from 1 species
GAGAUACUAGUAAAAAUUACGUAACUUUGUCGAAGUUAAAUUAUAGGUUUAAACCCUUUGUAUCUCCAU